rnacentral:rRNA from 1 species
UGGGGAAUUUUGGACAAUGGGCGAAAGCCUGAUCCAGCAAUGCCGCGUGUGUGAAGAAGGCCUUCGGGUUGUAAAGCACUUUUGUCCGGAAAGAAAUCCUUGGCUCUAAUACAGUCGGGGGAUGACGGUACCGGAAGAAUAAGCACCGGCUAACUACGUGCCAGCAGCCGCGGUAAUACGUAGGGUGCAAGCGUUAAUCGGAAUUACUGGGCGUAAAGCGUGCGCAGGCGGUUUGCUAAGACCGAUGUGAAAUCCCCGGGCUCAACCUGGGAACUGCAUUGGUGACUGGCAGGCUAGAGUAUGGCAGAGGGGGUAGAAUUCCACGUGUAGCAGUGAAAUGCGUAGAGAUGUGGAGGAAUACCGACGGCGAAGGCAGCCCCCUGGGCCAAUACUGACGCUCAUGCACGAAAGCGUGGGGAGCAAACAGGAUUAGAUACCCUGGUAGUCCACGCCCUAAACGAUGUCAACUAGUUGUUGGGGAUUCAUUUCCUUAGUAACGUAGCUAACGCGUGAAGUUGACCGCCUGGGGAGUACGGUCGCAAGAUUAAAACUUAAAGGAA